rnacentral:rRNA from 1 species
AGAGUUUGAUCCUGGCUCAGGAUGAACGCUGGCGGCGUGCUUAACACAUGCAAGUCGAACGGGAUCCAUCAAGCUUGCUUGGUGGUGAGAGUGGCGAACGGGUGAGUAAUGCGUGACCGACCUGCCCCAUACACCGGAAUAGCUCCUGGAAACGGGUGGUAAUGCCGGAUGUUCCAGUUGAUCGCAUGGUCUUCUGGGAAAGCUUUCGCGGUAUGGGAUGGGGUCGCGUCCUAUCAGCUUGACGGCGGGGUAACGGCCCACCGUGGCUUCGACGGGUAGCCGGCCUGAGAGGGCGACCGGCCACAUUGGGACUGAGAUACGGCCCAGACUCCUACGGGAGGCAGCAGUGGGGAAUAUUGCACAAUGGGCGCAAGCCUGAUGCAGCGACGCCGCGUGAGGGAUGGAGGCCUUCGGGUUGUAAACCUCUUUUAUCGCGGAGCAAGCGAGAGUGAGUUUACCCGUUGAAUAAGCACCGGCUAACUACGUGCCAGCAGCCGCGGUAAUACGUAGGGUGCAAGCGUUAUCCGGAAUUAUUGGGCGUAAAGGGCUCGUA